rnacentral:rRNA from 1 species
UACGUAGGGUGCGAGCGUUGUCCGGAAUUAUUGGGCGUAAAGAGCUCGUAGGCGGUGUGUCGCGUCGGCCGUGAAAACCUGCAGCUUAACUGUGGGCUUGCGGUCGAUACGGGCAUCACUGGAGUUCGGCAGGGGAGACUGGAAUUCCUGGUGUAGCGGUGAAAUGCGCAGAUAUCAGGAGGAACACCGGUGGCGAAGGCGGGUCUCUGGGCCGAUACUGACGCUGGAGGAGC